rnacentral:rRNA from 1 species
AUGCAGCAGGGUUGGUUAUCUAAUUGGCUAGUCAAACAUGAGGUGGUUCAUAGAUCUUUGGGCUUUCAUCAUCGAGGAAUAGAGACAUUACAAAUAAAAGCAGAGGAUUGAGAUUCCAUUGCUGUCAUUUUAUAUGUAUAUGGUUACAAUUAUUUACGCUCCCAAUGUGCUUAUAAUGUAGCACCCGGUGGAUCUUUAGCUAGCGUUUUGUGUAGUACCUGAAUAUGCUGGAAAAUACCAAAUUGCCCAAUCACCAAAAUCUAA